rnacentral:tRNA from 1 species
ACCUUUGUAGCUCAGUUGGUUAGAGCGUCUGCCUAGUAAGCAGAAGGUCCCGUGUUCAACUCACGGUAAAGGCA